UAAGCGCAUACGGUGGAUGCCUUGGCAGUCAGAGGCGAUGAAAGACGUGGAAGCCUGCGAUAAGGCUCGGGGAGCUGGCAAACAAGCUGUGAUCCGGGCAUCUCUGAAUGGGGAAACCCACCGGUCUUCGGACCGGUACCGUACGGUGAAUACAUAGCCGUACGGGGCGAACUCGGGGAACUGAAACAUCUAAGUACCCGAAGGAAAAGAAAUCAACCGAGAUUCCCUCAGUAGCGGCGAGCGAACGGGGACCAGCCCUUAAGCUGGACAACUGGUAGGAGAAGGCCCUGGAAAGAGCCGCCAUAGUGGGUGAUAGCCCCGUAUCCGAAACCUGAGUCCAGUGAAAUCGAGUAGGACGGGACACGAGACAUCCUGUCUGAACAUGGGGGGACCACCCUCCAAGCCUAAGUACUCCUUAACGACCGAUAGUGUACCAGUACCGUGAGGGAAAGGUGAAAAGCACCCCGAUGAGGGGAGUGAAAUAGACCUGAAACCGGAUGCCUACAAGCAGUAGGAGCCUCCAUUGUGAGGUGACUGCGUACCUUUUGUAUAAUGGGUCAGCGACUUAUGUUCAGUGGCGAGGUUAACCGUUUAGGGGAGCCGUAGGGAAACCGAGUCUGAAUAGGGCGAUUUAGUCGCUGGGCAUAGACCCGAAACCGGGCGAUCUAUCCAUGAGCAGGUUGAAGGUUGAGUAACAUCAACUGGAGGACCGAACCCACUGUCUUUGAAAAGCCAGGGGAUGACUUGUGGAUCGGAGUGAAAGGCUAAUCAAGCCCGGAGAUAGCUGGUUCUCCCCGAAAGCUAUUUAGGUAGCGCCUCGGACGAAUACCACAGGGGGUAGAGCACUGUUUCGGCUAGGGGGUCAUCCCGACUUACCAACCCGAUGCAAACUCCGAAUACCUGUGAGUACUAUCCGGGAGACACACGGUGGGUGCUAACGUCCAUCGUGAAGAGGGAAACAACCCAGACCGCCAGCUAAGGUCCCCAAAUACCAGUUAAGUGGGAAACGAUGUGGGAAGGCUCAGACAGCUAGGAGGUUGGCUUAGAAGCAGCCAUCCUUUAAAGAAAGCGUAACAGCUCACUGGUCUAAAUAAGCUGUCCCGCGCCGAAGAUGUACCGGGGCUCAAGCCACACACCGAAACUGCGGACUUGUUCUUUGAACAAGUGGUAGCGGAGCGUUCCGUAAGCCUGUGAAGGUGUGCCGUAAGGCAUGCUGGAGGUAUCGGAAGCGAGAAUGCUGACAUGAGUAGCGAUAAAGGGAGUGAGAACCUCCCUCGCCGAAAGCCCAAGGGUUCCUGCGCAAGGCCAAUCCGCGCAGGGUGAGUCGGCCCCUAAGACGAGGCAGAAAUGCGUAGUCGAUGGGAAACAGGUUAAUAUUCCUGUACCCGU
rnacentral:rRNA from 1 species